UACGUAGGGUGCGAGCGUUGUCCGGAAUUAUUGGGCGUAAAGGGCUCGUAGGCGGUUUGUCGCGUCGGGAGUGAAAACGCCGUGCUUAACACGGCGCUUGCUUUCGAUACGGGCAGACUAGAGGUAUGCAGGGGAGAACGGAAUUCCUGGUGUAGCGGUGAAAUGCGCAGAUAUCAGGAAGAACACCUAUGGCGAAGGCAGCUCUCUGGGACGGUACUGACGCUGAGACGCGAAAGCGUGGGGAGCGAACAGG
rnacentral:rRNA from 1 species